UCACUCAAUUUCUCUCAUUUUUUUUUUAAUUAUUUUCGAUUUCUAAGUGUAAUCAAUUUUGCUUCAUUGAACCCACUACUGGCACUACAGUCGUAUGCAUUAUUAUUGUUGAAUUGAAUUAUGUGUUCUUUGGGUUUAAACUACAUGUUCUAUGGGUGUAUAUAUUCUAUGAGUUUGAACUAUAAGUUCUUCCCACUUGUUUACGAAUUCUUUGUUUUAUUCCUGAAGUUGAUGAUAAGUUUGAAUAUUUGUUAAUGAUUUUUUUCCAAAAAUAUGCUAAUUUUUGUGAUAAAUUGUUAUAUUUUAUCACUGUUCUUUGCAUUUUGCUUUUAUGUUCUUCCUGUUAUCUAUGUUCUUUGUAAUUUUUCCUUAUGUUCUUUGUAAUUUUUCCUUAUGAUCUUUCAUUUAAAAACAUGGUGCAUGGUGAACAUUGUGCACUUGGGUGCAUAAUUAAACCACAUAUAAAAUAUCUCAUAUCUCUAAUAUGGGGUUUCUUUCCUUCUAAAAUAAUUUCGACCAAGUUUACAUAAGAGACCUCUUUUCUUACAUGAAGGGUCUCUUUAUGAAAGAGACCCAUGAGAUAGAGACCCCUUAAAAGGAGGAAUCUUAGACCAUUUAGGAAGGGCCUCUUUGCCAUUUUUUAUAGUAGUGAUAUUAUUUAAAGUUACUACAUAUAGGAUAUUAAUUAGUUACUUCUUAUAUAUUCUAUAAAAUGUUUGGAGUAACCUCUUACUAAUUAUAUAAUAAGUUAUGUAAACCUUUAAUAAUAUGCAAUGUGAAGUAACGAUUUCACAUAUUGUAAUUCUUAAUCAGGCCCGGCCAUUGGGAGGUCUGGUCGGAUCCUCAUCAUAGGGCCCGAAAAUUUGGGGGCCCAAAAAAAAUUUAAACACUGAUGAGUUUACUAUAAAAAAAAUAAAAUAAACUUCCCUUUCCCAUACCUUCUCCCUUUCCCGUAACUUCUUGAAACAAUGAAACAUGGAAACCCAAAAAUAACUCUCUAAAUUCUCUCUCCUUCCCAUGGUGAUUUCCAAAAAUUAGGCAAUUACAACCUUCAUCAACUACUCAACGGUUCAAUCUUCGACCGGCAUUCCUCUUCUCGCUCCUAUGAAUCUCACUUUCUCUCUCUUCCGUUCAAGCCUCUCUACCAGAAAAUUUGUCAAAGUUCGAUGGCAAGGCGGUGUAUUUUGAUGGAUUUGGAACUCCGAGUAGAAACGAACGCGGUGGAAUUUGGUCAAUUAGGUAGGGUUUAUUGAAGAUUUUGGGUAUAAUUUUAUGGAUUUGAUUGUUGUUCCUGUAUGUGGAAUUUGUUCAUUUUAAUUGCAAAUUGAAUCGGGUAGUAUGUAAAUUUUGAAUUGA